CGUGAGCAUCACGAAGCCUGAUUAUGAGUCCAAGUCCCAGGGGCCCGUAGCUGUAACAGCAUGGCGCAGCGGCCGGUGUCUCUUAGCUUCGAGGAACUCGACUUCCUCGAAGGGGAUCCUCUCCUUCUAUUUUUCUUUUUCCCCGAUUGGCCUUUAGAACCUUGCCAGAGCCUCUUUCUCGCUCCCUGGCUCCUCUCACCUUGUUACCAGUCGCCGUCCUGUGCAACCUCACGUCAGCAGCAUUCGUAGUCACGGUGUCCAUUGUCGCACGACGCCGACGGACAGAAUGCCACAGUCAAUUCCUAUUAUAUCCAGAACGAGUAUCUCUGAAUGCACGCUGAACGAAGUCGACAGAAAAGAAGCAAGACUCCUGGGGAACAGAUCAAGCGUAAAUCUAAGGUGAAGAGUUCAAGGGAAUAGGAUGUGCUUCGGGUUGAGUAUGAUAUACAGUCCAGGAUUAGGGAUCGAGCAUGAAGGACAUGACGCCAUGAGGAUGCGCAGAGCACAAUGAUAAUUAAACGCAAUUUGCUCCCCUUUGACACCGUCCUCUCUACGCCCCUAGUGCAGUUUAUUCCAUUCACGACGCCCUCAACACUCCCUCGUCUCGUCGGCGUGGAGGGCGUCGUAAAUCCAUUAGGCGUCUAGGCGCGUCCCUCACUCGAUGUGUCCCACGUUGCAUUAAACGAGAGUUCGACCCGGUCGAAGCCUAACGUAGCCCUUCCAAGGGUGUCUACGUCUGUCUCGAGAGGUUUUCUCUCCUGGUGAACAAGGGGUACCUCACCGUCAUCGUC